rnacentral:lncRNA from 1 species
GACCCUGUCUCUAAAAAAAUAAUAAUAAUAAAAAGAUAAAUAAAUAAAUCUAGAUGAUUUGCUGGGAUAACUGAAGGCUACAAGAGAUACGUAUGUGAAGGACUAUUUUAGUACAAAACAAGUUCUUAACCCAAAACUGGAAAAACAUUACUUCGUUCUUCCUCCUAAGCUUCCUGGCAGGAAAUUGACUUUACAAUUUUAAAUUUAAAGGUUUUGUCAGGUAUUGCCUAAGGUGAAAACCUAUAUUGUAAGACACAAAAACUCUGCCUAGGACUUCAGUAGCUCAGAGAGGGAAGGACUUAAUAUGUGUCUGAAAAGAUGAGUUUUAGAAAUUAAGAAAAAAGAGAUCAUUCCCACUUCAACUCCUUACUCUACUCUACCCCCAUUGAAAACAGACCUUCCUCCGCCUUACCCACAGGUUCCUCCACCAAGCCAAUGCCAGACUCCUGCAAUCAUAGGAUGGCAGCACCACCUCUAAAGCACAGAACUUCAGGCUUUGCUUCGGAAGUGGCACCAUGUCUCUUCAUUUUCCCUUUCUUCAAGGGAAAAUCCUUGAAGAAAUUUCCUUCAGAAAACUCCUGAAGCUGUUAGAAUUUUUAGUGUUCAUGUUGCUGAGGAGGCAGAGGGCUGAGUUCUUCCAUCCAUCGCCUUCAAGUGUCAGGCGGCUUCCGGUUGGACAAGAUGGCUACCCCAGUGGGCUUGUUUCCUCUCUGGUCUCUUUUUCUGUCUAAGACUCACUCCAUACCAGC